ACAAGCGUUGAAAAUAGCAGGGCCACUGAUACUAUUACAAGUAUGGGCUUAUGAUCGAUUUCCAAUUAUAGCACCACAAGUCCAACUACAGGCCCCAGAUCAUCGUCCACUUAGUGUUAGAUUAUUUGGACGCCAUACACAUAGAUUUGGUCAUCCUUACCUGAUUAUUGUCGUGAUGGUGAAGUCAUCUGGUUGACCUUAGCCCUCUUGUAUGCUUCCAUAUAGUAGAGUGGCAUCAUCCAGAUAAUGUGUUGAGACAGUUCGGUCUGCGACAAACGAUACCUUCGUUGUCCUAUACACUCCCAACACUACACCAGAUCGAUUUGAGUGGUAAGCACAACCAAGAUUGGCAUCGAAUCCAUGCGGAAUAUUUAUCCUACUGGCAUGGACGACAUGAUCGUUGUGCACAGGGAGAAUUAAAAAAUGGGUCAGCUGUAUCAGACAACUACUUUCUCUGGAACAAUUCGAUCACAAGACGAUUUAUCACACCUGACGGCGCUUACUAUUACUGCAUGAAUAAUUUUAUCGGUGACGUUCAACAAUAUUCAGUGCAGAACAACUUACAAAAUUAGGCUCAAUGUGUCAGCAAAUAUUGGUCAAUGUAGAAGGUAUUAUUCAACAAACAAGACGACUCAAUGUUCCUGACACCGAUUGAAGACAUAUUCGUCGUAGACGAUAGUGACAACAAGGUGAAUCUAAUUUAGAGGGACACGAAGACAACCCCAUGAGGGAUAAGGGCCAGG